UACGUAGGGUGCAAGCGUUGUCCGGAAUUAUUGGGCGUAAAGAGCUCGUAGGCGGUCUGUCGCGUCGGCUGUGAAAUCCCGAGGCUCAACCUCGGGUCUGCAGUCGAUACGGGCAAACUUGAGUGUUGCAGGGGAGACUGGAAUUCCUGGUGUAGCGGUGGAAUGCGCAGAUAUCAGGAGGAACACCGGUGGCGAAGGCGGGGUCUCUGGGCAGUAACUGACGCUGAGGAGCGAAAGCGUGGGGAGCGAACAGG
rnacentral:rRNA from 1 species